rnacentral:rRNA from 1 species
CAGUCGCCGCGGUAAUACGAAGGGUGCAAGCGUUACUCGGAAUUACUGGGCGUAAAGCGUGCGUAGGUGGUGGUUUAAGUCCGUUGUGAAAGCCCUGGGCUCAACCUGGGAAUUGCAGUGGAUACUGGAUCACUAGAGUGUGGUAGAGGAUAGUGGAAUUUCCGGUGUAGCAGUGAAAUGCGUAGAGAUCGGAAGGAACAUCAGUGGCGAAGGCGGCCAUCUGGGACAACACUGACGCUGAGGCACGAAAGCGAGGGGAGCAAACAGGAUUAGAUACCCCGGUAGUCCCUGUCUCUUAUAA